AUCUACUCAAUUCCAAUCUCAUCAUUGGUCAAAACAAAUUGUAAAUAUCUAACAGCUGGAAUCAUGCAAGAUGAACAUAAUAACUAACUAUUAUUUUUGAAUUUUUGAUUUGAAUUGUUUUUUUUUUGAUGAACCUAAACUAAAUUAACAACAUAUGCAAAAUAACAUAACAUAAACAUGAAACUAAACAUGCAAUAAUGAACUAAAGUAAACUCUUCCAAACUUAGCAAUUACAAUGUCCUCAUUGUAAGAAUAUAGCGAUAAGUAGAAGAGAACUUCCCUGUAAUCAGAUAAGCGUGAAGUGAUGUUGGCGAUGGUAGCGAUAAUCAUUUUCCUAUCCAUUGAACCUCCAAUACCUGCAAUGAAGAGAGACAACAUGGAUUAGAAUAACACUUUGGAAUAUAACAUGAUUCCUAUCUACUAAAUAAACUAGGAAAACAUAUAAAUAAAUAUAAAAAAAAAUUGGGUUACCUCCCAGUUAGCGCUUGAAUUACAGUCUUUCAGCCUGACUUUGUCUGGUCAAUGCAAUCCAUUUCCUCGUCGAUAAUUGAGGAACCCUCAAUCCAUCGGAAAUAAUGUAGCUUUUGGUAGGUUUCCAUUUGUGAAAGCCAUACCAUUAAAGUCACCUAGCUUGCUUUGUUUUGGUAUGAUCUCAUUCAAGAACGUCCAACACAUAGGUGUUUUCUCCAUUGUGUAUGUGAUCACUUUGGGACAUGGAAGCUCGUAACACACAAUGGGCUCUUCGUCUAUCUUCUCUUUCUCGUCCCACCAUGGAUUCAAAAUUGUACUCGAUCUUAUGUCAUAAAGAGCUUCGCCGACUACAUGACUACCAAU
rnacentral:lncRNA from 1 species